AUGACCAUCAAUAAAAGCCAGGGGCAAUCUCUUAAUGUGGUUGGGCUUUAUCUUAGAAACCCUGUAUUCUCUCAUGGACAGCUCUACGUAGCUCUGUCGCGUGUCACAUCAAGGACAGGUCUGAAAAUUGUGAUAGAAGAUGAUAAGAAGAACUACACGAUGGACAAAAAAUAUUGUCUACCGUGA
rnacentral:rRNA from 1 species